GAUGAAGAACGCAGCGAAAUGCGAUAAGUAAUGUGAAUUGCAGAAUUCAGUGAAUCAUCGAGUCUUUGAACGCACAUUGCGCCCCCUGGUAUUCCGGGGGGCAUGCCUGUCCGAGCGUCAUUGCUGCCCUCAAGCACGGCUUGUGUGUUGGGCCCCCGUCCCCGGUUCUCCCCGGGGACGGGCCCGAAAGGCAGCGGCGGCACCGCGUCCGAUCCUCGAGCGUAUGGGGCUUUGUCACCCGCUCUGUAGGCCCGGCCGGCGCCAGCCGACACCCCAACUUUAUUUUCUAAGGUUGACCUUGGAUCAGGUAGGGAUACCCGCUGAACUUAAGCAUAUCAUAAGCGGAGG
rnacentral:misc_RNA from 1 species